rnacentral:rRNA from 1 species
GACGAACGCUGGCGGCGUGCUUAACACAUGCAAGUCGAACGGAAAGGCCCUGCUUGCAGGGUACUCGAGUGGCGAACGGGUGAGUAACACGUGGGUGAUCUGCCCUGCACUUCGGGAUAAGCCUGGGAAACUGGGUCUAAUACCGGAUAUGACCUUCCAUGUAGUGUGGGGGGUGGAAAGAUUUAUCGGUGUGGGAUGAGCCCGCGGCCUAUCAGCUUGUUGGUGGGGUAAUGGCCUACCAAGGCGUCGACGGGUAGCCGGCCUGAGAGGGUGGACGGCCACAUUGGGACUGAGAUACGGCCCAGACUCCUACGCGAGGCAGCAGUGGGGAAUAUUGCACAAUGGGCGGAAGCCUUAUGCAGCGACGCCGCGUGGGGGAUGACGGCCUUCGGGUUGUAAACCUCUUUCGACAGGGACGAAGCUUCGGUGACGGUACCUGUAGAAGAAGCACCGGCUAACUACGUG